AGAGAAGUGCCUCGCAAGAGGAAUUCGGAGACAGGUGCUGCAUGGCUGUCGUCAGCUCGUGUCGUGAGAUGUUGGUUAAGUCCGCAACGAGCGCAACCCUUGUCUUUAGUUGCCAUCAUUAAGUUGGGCACUCUAAAGAGACUGCCGGUGUCAAACCGGAGGAAGUGGGGAUGACGUCAAGUCCUCAUGGCCUUUAUGACCAGGGCUACACACGUACUACAAUGGCAGGUACAAAGGGCAGCCACUUAGCGAUAAGGCGCGAAUCCCGUAAAACCUGUCUCAGUCCGGAUUGGAGUCUGCAACUCGACUCCAUGAAGUUGGAAUCGCUAGUAAUCGCAGAUCAGCACGCUGCGGUGAAUACGUUCCCGGGCCUU
rnacentral:rRNA from 1 species